rnacentral:lncRNA from 1 species
GUCAGCCACAAGGUGAGAAAAUAUCAAAAAAAAUAUGACUAAAUAUACCAAAUCAAGUUUGAUUUUGAUUUGGAUUCAAUUUGAAUCUAAUUUGAAUCUGAUUCGAACUAAAUUCGAAAAGGCUGCUAAUCCUAAUCUAUUUAGGAUUUAGGUCCAAGUUCAACUUAGAUAAUUAACCUAAUUUAAUCUUAAUAAAAUUAAGCCUUAUUAAAUUAGAUCUGAUCUAAAAUAACUAGGACUCAAAUCCAAUCUCUCAUAUUUUCUUGAAUCAUAGAUUCGAU